rnacentral:rRNA from 1 species
AUUGAACGCUAGCGGGAGGCCUUACACAUGCAAGUCGAACGAGUGGCGGACGGGUGAGUAAUGUCUGGGAAACUGCCUGGUGGAGGGGGAUAACUACUGGAAACGGUAGCUAAUACCGCAUACCAUCAGAUGGGCCCAUAUGGGAUUAGCUAGUUGGUGGGGUAACGGCUCACCAAGGCGACGAUCCCUAGCUGGUCUGAGAGGAUGACCAGCCACACUGGAACUGAGACACGGUCCAGACUCCUACGGGAGGCAGCAGUGGGGAAUAUUGGACAAUGGGCGCAAGCCUGAUGCAGCCAUGCCGCGUGUAUGAAGAAGGCCUUCGGGUUGUAAAGUACUUUCGGCGGAGAGGCGUUACCCGCAGAAGAAGCACCGGCUAACUCCGUGCCAGCCGCCGCGGUAAUAC